rnacentral:lncRNA from 1 species
AUCCGGAUAUCCGAAUCCGGAAUUCUUAAACGAAUUCGGAUUUUCACGGCGGAUUUUCCGGAUAUCUGAAUCCGACCGAAUAAAAUCCGGAUUUCAAUUCAGGUAUCCGAAUCCGAAUUCGGAUAGUCAUAUUCGAAUUCGAAUACGGAUUCCGGUAUACCAUUUACAGACUUAACCAUUAGCAACCAACAAACCUGAUUCUUUAAAGUUCAAAUCUUUCUCUUUCAAGUUUGCUCCAUUAUUUGUUGUAUGAUUUGUACAUACCAGCCGGCAUUUGCCUUAUGUGACCUGUUGAACUUGUACGUACCCAUGUACUGAUCGAGUUUGAUGGUUGUAGCUGUCUUGAUUUUGACAAUAGAAAAAGACAUCCGUGAGGAGGUUAUGAAUACCAUUACCGGAAUCCUAGACUUGAAAGCAAAAAACGAUUUCUUUCCUUGUUGAAAUACCAUAUAAGCAAAAGCUUUAGAUACCAUAUAAGUUUGAAUAUCUCCAAACCGUAUUUGAUUUAUCAUUGAAUGAUUGUAUAUAUAGAGAUUACACAUGAGUGAUUAACAACUAAGCUAUCAAAUAUCUACUAACAACCAAUAACUAACUAACUAACUAACUAACUAACUAACUCAAUUACUCCCUCUAAUAAUGUGAUUCUCGGAAUCAUGGAACUGAAUUGGGAUGAUUUAAUAUCUCUUUGACUGAGGGACAAUAUUUUUUGUAGCCAUUUCUCUCUUAUUAAUCCUUCUGAAUUGUAAACACUAAAAAGUUCACAUUAAUGAAGUCAUUUUAUUUGAAGAUUGAAAUCGUCAAGUUGGAGGUAUUGCUGUCAGUCAGGUCUGAUUGACUUGUCAGUGCAUUUCUGAUGCACACUCAUUCUAUAAUUUCUGGUAUGUGGCUUUUGUAUUUAAGCUUUGUUGAUAGUGUUUUUUUGUGGAUUUGAGGCGGGGGGCACAUGAUUUCUACAAGCUUACAUAGUGUUUGUUUUUCCUUCAACGGACGUCAAAUCUACUCAGUGAUAUAUUAGAAUUAGCCAUAAUGUGAUUUCUUCUGUCACCUAGGAGUUUUAGAUUUUUCCCUGCACUAAAAAAUGAGCUAAUACAUGAUUGGUAUACAAAAUUAUAUAUUAUGAGAACUGGACUGUGCAUCGAAUACUUAUACGGCGUCGACCUUUUCCUUAUUUUUACAAAGCCAGUCUCAUACUCUAAUACCAACCAUUUCCGAGGCUCGGGCAACCAAGGUUCCGGGUGCGCGCGCAUAUGCGAUGAUGCGCCCCCAGAGGGAGGCGCAUCUCCCUUAACCGGAUCCAGGCCUGUUUUAAGUUAUUAAAAUCCGACCCGGAUCCAGGCCUGUUUUAAGUUAUUAAAAUCCGACCCAGAUCCAGGCUUUGUUUUUAUUUAAAAAAAAGCAAAAAAAAAAAUUAUUUUAAGACCUUAUAAAUUUUUAUGCCAAAAAUUUAUACUUUGGCCCAUGAAAAGAGCUAUAUUAUUUUAAUAUAAGCUCCGCCCACUCUUAAGACUUCAUAUUUGUUUUAGACAAAAUGAAUCUUUAUUUAUAGACUAACCUUCUUUGUGUUUUUUGAAUUCUAUCGAUGUAGGACUAAAAAAGUGUAGUUAAAUAAAUUAUUAUUAUAUAGUAUUUUUGAUAUUAUAGAUGUAUUAAAGAAGGCCCAACCC